rnacentral:rRNA from 1 species
AACGAACGCUGGCGGCAUGCCUAACACAUGCAAGUCGAACGAAGGCUUCGGCCUUAGUGGCGCACGGGUGCGUAACGCGUGGGAAUCUGCCCUUAGGUACGGAAUAACUCAGGGAAACUUGAGCUAACACCGUAUAAUGACUUCGGUCCAAGGAUCUAUCGCCUGAGGAUGAGCCCGCGUCGGAUUAGCUAGUUGGUGAGGUAAAAGCUCACCAAGGCGACGAUCCGUAGCUGGUCUGAGAGGAUGAUCAGCCACACUGGGACUGAGACACGGCCCAGACUCCUACGGGAGGCAGCAGUGGGGAAUAUUGGACAAUGGGCGAAAGCCUGAUCCAGCAAUGCCGCUUGAGUGAUGAAGGCCUUAGGGUUGUAAAGCUCUUUUACCCGGGAUGAUAAUGACAGUACCGGGAGAAUAAGCCCCGGCUAACUCCGUGCCAGCAGCCGCCGUAA